UAAAUAGCCGUAGUGCAGCCGGCUUGCUCUGCCACCCACGGCCCACGAGAGGUCUUCACUGCUUGCUUUUCAUCUGUGAACUCGCUCCAGCAAAAAGCAAACCAGUGCCCCCUCCCCGCCCUUACUGGGAUGCACUGGGAGCAUCGCUGUGGGGUGGCCCAUCGUAGUGCUGUGGGGUUUGCUGCUGUGAAGCCCCUGCUGCAUUUAGGGCCUAAUAUCUUUCUGCAGUGCAUCUCCUGUGCCGUCCCCGUGGUGUUUGCACGUCCUGCCUUGCACCAACAUGUGGGUGAUGUGGAGCGUGGAGUGCCCAGCAAACACAGGGAUGGGAAUAUGGGAUAUUACCCACAAAUAGAGGAGGAGAGGGGGGAGGAAAAGGAGGAGCAGGAGUUGGAGGGCUGCAUAUGAGUGGUAGAGGAGUAGGAGCAAAUAGAAACAGCCCAUGGUGCACAGCUGGGCCUGGAGAACAGCUGUCCCUCUGGAUACUCACGAGUUAACAGGCAGGCCCAUGGCUCCAGGAAGGAGCAGAGCCCAACGGUGCCAGCAGAAAGCUGUGAAAACAUCGAGCAGAGUGUUUACAUGGCUUUUUCUUUCUUUUUAUUUUGAGAUGCUCUGAUUACAAGCCAGACUUUUAAAGACAGGAAGUGCCCAGCAGAUGAGCGUAUCAAUCACUGCCUUUAUAAGCUUUUGAAGAUUCUGCAAAUCAUUUUAUGGCUCAGAUAGCAGCCUUCCUGCAAAGGCAAUAAACCUGGCAAUGAGUCAGGCUGAGGAUGUGUGCCGUGCCCAAGGGCUCAGUGCUUUGCCUCUCCGGGUCGGCUCUGUGAGGUGACUGCUCUUCUUCCUGCAUGGCUGCACUGGGAAUGGGUGGAUGGAGCAAAAGGAGACACGUCCCCAUCCGUGCUGUGCUCCUUUGGGAGUGGGUCCUGUGCAUGGGGAGGAUGCACGGAGCUAAAUGAACCGUGUGAGCUCAGUGGGUCCUCAGCAUGGAGGUGCAGCACUUCCCAGGGCAACCACGUCCACAAUUGCACAUGAAACUCCUUUUAAGAUAAGAUGCAAACAUCUGGAGACUUUCCUAUCUGCGGGCAUUAGGGAAGUCUGGGCUGCAGUCUCGGGUGCCUCUGUGAUGGUGCACGUCCUCUCCUCCAUACCAAUCCCUGAGGGGGGAAGCUCUGCUGGGGCUGCAGCCCAUUCCAUUGCUGGGCCAGGACUUGGAUCCAGUCUCACCAGCCUUACGUAGAGCCAAUGCACGACUGCUCCUUUCUGCUUCCAGACGGUGCAGCCAAAUAAACCUCCCGCUCCUUCCCUCUUCCUGGUGCCAUUACCUCUUCACUCCCUGUAACUCGCAGCCACGAGUGAGUCAAAAGCAUUUUUAUAGCGAGUGUGCAAAGUGAACUGUAGCUGGGGAGCAGUUAGGUGCGCGCCGUCCCUCCCCAGCCUGACAACCAGCGUUACUGCCCAGCAGGGAAUAGCCUGAUCGCUCGUUUACGGCUGCAAUCAUCUCUCUGUUACAGCAUUAGAAAGGAAUGAGCACCAAAAGCCAUUAUAAUUAAGAUCUCUCCGGAGCUGACAGUAGAAAUAGAUGGCAUGUGGAGCUGGAGCUCCGUGGCUCAGCUGUUUCUUUUCGAGCUGUCACUGGAAAAUUACAGAGGCUGACAAUCAUAUUCUGAGCUCAGCUGUGCUGAGCAGUGCACAUCCAGCACAGCACCAGGCACUGCCAUGGAUGCAGCCCUCCAAACCCAAAGGCUCGCUGCACUGGGUCACCUGCAUCGCACUCAGGUCUCGUUGGCUUUGUAACAAGGCACAGAACGACCUGAUGAUGGGAAGGAUGUACAGAUGCUUCUCAGUUGGGCACUGUGUGGCUCUGAGUGCUCACCUCGCACUGCUGGCUCUGCCCCCAGGUGCUCCCCCAUUGGCAGGAGGGAUGCUGCUGCUUCUGUCACAGCUGUCCCCUUAUAGCUGCAGAAGCCUUGCUCGGGGCUCCUGAUACCCAAGGCUGGUCCAGGUGCUCCUGGAGCCCGGCCAGCUGUGAUAAAUCUCCUUAAUUGCAGCUCAUUGUAAUCAUGCUUUAUAUGGAGCUGAUGCUAUUACUGUUGGGAGCUUUGGCCUGAUGAAUCCCAGGUAGGAGACCUGCAGCUCUCCUGGGGGGCUGGAAGCAUUGAGUGGGAGCUCCAGGGCUUGUUGGGGCUGACGGAGCUGGCUCUCAGCCCUGUGCUGCAAUGGGCAGAGUGCAGGAGCAAAGGCAGUACGGAGAUGUCAAUCCGUACCUCACCUCUUUCUGGUCCCAUCCACCCGAGAACCCAUCUGGUGCACGAGCAGGAGAACCUUCAGUGUUAAUUGCCCCUCUGCAAGGUACGUGAUCAGAGAAUCGUUAAGGUUGGAAAUGGCCUCUGAGAUCCCCACCCAGCCGUGCCCACUGACCACGUCCCUCAGUGCCACAUCUCUGUGUCCCACGAGCAUCCCCAGGGAUGAUGGCCUCCACCGCUCCUUGGGCAACCCGUGCUGGUGCAUCACAGCUCUUCAGAAAAGAAACGUUUCCAAAUGUCCAACCUGAUCCUCUCCUGGUGCAGUGUGGAGCCAUCACCUCUCGUCCUAUCAACACCGCCGCCUUCUCUAAGCGCUCACUGCAGCCACAGCAGCAGCGGGCACUCCCAACACGGGGUGCUCCACGGAACAUGGCACGGCUCCAUCUGGCUGAUCCCAAGGAAUGCCCGGGCGCAGCCGCAGCUCCGGGGGAUUAAACUGAAGUCUAACGUUACACCCCUUGGAAGAGCAGAGCUUUACUUGGAAACCGAAUCGCAUUAAUUAGCAUUCUGCUAAUGGCUGUUUUGUAUAAAUAUAGUGUGCCUUAAUACCAACACGAGUCGCAGGUUGACAUAUUUAGAUCGCUGAUAUCAAAGUCAUUAACGCCUCUCCGUGGUAAACCUAUUCUCAGUUCGGGCUACAAAUGGGAUUCUCCUGAGCCAAUCAAUCUUCCUAAAGCCUGAGCAGAGCCUGUUGAUCUUUAGCCACUGAAUGGAUGCAGCUUCCCAGAAAUGUGCUUGCAUCUGUCAGAAUUAUAAGCAGCUGGCAGCCCCAGACAAGGGUCAUAUUUGCUGCGAGUGUGAAAAUAGGAUCCCAGGACAAGAAAUGCUACUUAGCAGCAUAUCGAUUCUGAGCUAUUAAUGUUGCAGCACAAUGCGUGUGUGUGUGUCCGUGCAGGCACUCCUGCACAUGCCAAUUAUGUAUUUAUACACAAGGUCUCCUCUCACAUA